GACGAACGCUGGCGGCGUGCUUAACACAUGCAAGUCGAACGGAAAGGCCCUGCUUUUGUGGGGUGCUCGAGUGGCGAACGGGUGGGUAACACGUGAGUAACCUGCCCUUGACUUUGGGAUAACUUCAGGAAACUGGGGCUAAUACCGGAUAGGAGCUCCUGCUGCAUGGUGGGGGUUGGAAAGUUUCGGCGGUUGGGGAUGGACUCGCGGCUUAUCAGCUUGUUGGUGGGGUAGUGGCUUACCAAGGCUUUGACGGGUAGCCGGCCUGAGAGGGUGACCGGCCACAUUGGGACUGAGAUACGGCCCAGACUCCUACGGGAGGCAGCAGUGGGGAAUAUUGCACAAUGGGCGGAAGCCUGAUGCAGCAACGCCGCGUGCGGGAUGACGGCCUUCGGGUUGUAAACCGCUUUCGCCUGUGACGAAGCGUGAGUGACGGUAAUGGGUAAAGAAGCACCGGCUAACUACGUGCCAGCAGCCGCGGUGAUACGUAGGGUGCGAGCGUUGUCCGGAUUUAUUGGGCGUAAAGGGCUCGUAGGUGGUUGAUCGCGUCGGAAGUGUAAUCUUGGGGCUUAACCCUGAGCGUGCUUUCGAUACGGGUUGACUUGAGGAAGGUAGGGGAGAAUGGAAUUCCUGGUGGAGCGGUGGAAUGCGCAGAUAUCAGGAGGAACACCAGUGGCGAAGGCGGUUCUCUGGGCCUUUCCUGACGCUGAGGAGCGAAAGCGUGGGGAGCGAACAGGCUUAGAUACCCUGGUAGUCCACGCUGUAAACGGUGGGUACUAGGUGUGGGGUCCAUUCCACGGGUUCCGUGCCGUAGCUAACGCUUUAAGUACCCCGCCUGGGGAGUACGGCCGCAAGGCUAAAACUCAAAGGAAUUGACGGGGCCCCGCACAAGCGGCGGAGCAUGCGGAUUAAUUCGAUGCAACGCGUAGAACCUUACCUGGGUUUGACAUGGAUCGGGAGUGCUCAGAGAUGGGUGUGCCUCUUUUGGGGUCGGUUCACAGGUGGUGCAUGGCUGUCGUCAGCUCGUGUCGUGAGAUGUUGGGUUAAGUCCCGCAACGAGCGCAACCCUUGUUCACUGUUGCCAGCACGUUAUGGUGGGGACUCAGUGGAGACCGCCGGGGUCAACUCGGAGGAAGGUGGGGAUGACGUCAAGUCAUCAUGCCCCUUAUGUCCAGGGCUUCACGCAUGCUACAAUGGCUGGUACAGAGAGUGGCGAGCCUGUGAGGGUGAGCGAAUCUCGGAAAGCCGGUCUCAGUUCGGAUUGGGGUCUGCAACUCGACCUCAUGAAGUCGGAGUCGCUAGUAAUCGCAGAUCAGCAACGCUGCGGUGAGUACGUUCCCGGG
rnacentral:rRNA from 1 species